ACAUUUUUUCAAUUCAUUAUAAAUCAUUUCCCAAUACACUUUUACCUUUUUACAUGUACAUCACAUGUAAAAAAAAGUUCCCUCUGCUUCUUUACACUUUCAACACAUAUCUGAUUCUGUUUUUUAAAUCUUAGUCAACCUAUUUGGAGUUAAGUACCAUCUAUUAAUCAUUAAUUCAUUUUCAAUGAAUAACAUGCUAUAAAUUUCAGGUCACUUUUCCAGAGUUUCUUCUAGAGGUUGAGAUCUAUAUUGUGUAUCUAUAUUGUAUAUCUAUUGCCCAGUGUGUCAUUGAGGCUUUAACAAGUUUGUCUUUUGCUUCCCAUUCUAGUAGAAAAUUUUACAUUUUAGACAAAAGUUUGUCCUUAUUUUGUAAGAGUUCUUUUUCAAAUUGUGAGCUUUGGUCCAGAAAUCCAUUCUUUUGAUCUAAUUUAAACAUAACAUCUUUUAAAAAUUGUUUUAAUUGAGGGUUUUCUUGUCUUACAAAAGUACAUAUGUCGUCUCUUUAUUUUCAGAGACCUGUUCUUUCCAGUGUCAGAAAUCUGAAUAGGACUUGUUUCUGAAUAGGCAUGGAUAGGGCCUACUGCUUCUGAGGCUGCUCUCAUGUACAUGCAGUUUUUACUGUGGCUACUCAAAAGAUUAAGAAAUGGUGGUCUCGUCUAAAAAAAAAAUACUGCCCUUAUUAACUCAGCAGUAUACUCUGAAGAUUAGGAUAAUGCAAGGUAGAUAGUCCUUGCGUUCAUCACAAAUGCAAAUAGCUUUAUCUUGAAUCUAUUGUUCUUCUUCAUUCCAUAGCCAACUGGCAGAGAAAUAAAGAUCUGAGAGUGAUCUCUGUAAGAGCAAAGUAGUAAAACUUUUGUUUGCUUACACAUAUGGCUGCCAGUUGUCUUAAGUUCAAGAGGAAGAGACAAAGGUUUUUCAUCUGUGUCUGGAGCCGACAAAAAUUGCUCUUCCUUUCCCCUUGUCUCUUUUUUUGGCCCAGCUCUGGUGACCUUUGAACAUUCUCCUGACCACAUGGGAAGCACUCGUCUGUGAGCCAGCACCAUGGGGUAGGGGGCUGCAUCUGAAUGAUGCAGGCCACCUAGUCAGGGCUGAUCAUAUAGAAUGGGGACCUGGUGAACACAUGCAAUCAGCUUCAUCCACAUGGUUGAGUCAUUGAAGUUGCAUCAUGCCACAGCUGGAAGAGCCCAGCUGUUAGUGGCGCAUAGGACCCAACUAGAUCUGGGGGUGAGGGUGAUCCAUGUGGGUCGGGCUGAUUUCUUGUGUGCUUCCCAGGUGCCCAUUCCUCUGGGAGACACCCUACAUGAUCAGCUCUGUGGUUUGUGGUUGGGUUUGCUCAAGGACACGUGGUUCCCAUGUAUUCAGGGAAACAUUGAAACUGUUGAAAAGUCAGCAAAGCCAGGCCCUCCAAAAACGCAGGAUAAGGGGAAGACUCCUCGGGAAUCACAGUCUCCUCACAAGUAUGGUCCUCUUUGACAUCAGCUACCAGUUUGCUUGUGUAUCACUUGUUGCCUAGCAUGUAUGUGAUAAACAAACCAGGCGGCCUUGGUGAUUGUGUUACCUUCAAACCAGGAGUUGUGGCUUGUUGCUCCCUAACAAAUCAUGAUUGCUCACCAACUUGUAGCCAUGGUUUGUGGUUGACUUGUUACAGAGGAUGAACCAUGAUAAACUUGUGGUCAGGGGAAGAACUAAGUGGGAGUAAUAUUGUAGUGGGCACAAGUACGCAGCUCAUUCCUGAUACAAGCCAAGUCCAGCUUACAAUUAUGUAAGAACGUGUUCAGUGUCUGCAAAAAUGGAAACAGCUGGGAGUUGCAGCUGAGUCUUAUAAAAAGUCACAGCUAGGAGGUUCCUUCAGAACUCUGAAGGCAGUUGUGGACAAAAAUUUGGUGCGUCUCCUGCCUCUCACACUCCGUUCUAAAUCAUUGUUGUGAUGCCCAGUGCAGCCAAACUGGUUGCACUACCCAAAAAUUGUUUUUCUGAGGGAUCCCUGAAAUUUCAUCACAUAUAAAACAGGAGAAUGCAUAACAGCAUCAUUUUUUAGCAAAACUGUUUAUUAAUUUUUGUAUCUUUUGUACAUUCUUAUUCUAUACUUCAACCCAUAAGGGAUUCCAGAGCUUCUAACAAUUCAUUAAAAAUUGGUCAGUUAAAAUCUAAGCAAGUAUGGACAUAAUAAAGUUAAGAAACUACCGAACAGCAAAAAUAAUUACCACAACCCAAUAAAAUCAGGUCCAAAUAAAUAUAAAACAGUUGUUUAAAAGCUAUGAAAAGCUAGAAAUGAAACGUGCUGAGCUGUGAUAGCGAAUCCCAUAGCUUUGGCAAACGUGUUGCUUCCAAAGUUAUGUAGCCCUGAACCCAAAAUACGUUCCAGUAAUAAAGAGUAAUUUAGCACAUGGCCUACAUCUGGCCAAUGUGGAGCUAUCCAAUGUUUAGUGAAAGGUCUUUCCAAAAACUGGGUAAGUAUUUUUGGCUGAUGAGCACUGUCGCUCAGAUACAAUAACUGGCAUUUCUUUUUAGAGCAACUUGAGAAUUGGAUCAUUCUUUUUGGUAGGUUUAUGAACUGUACAUCUAUAUUUGCAUGCACACACAUGGAAGCAAUCGUGCAGUUUUCCAAAUUGUUUUCUUCUUCUAAAGGUGUUUUAUGAGCAAAUGCUAAUAUUUUUCAUGUGGUUGGAUUCUGUUUUUGCUGCUUCCAUGAAAUACCACCCAACCGUUUUUGUUUGUUUGUUUGUUUUUUGGUAGAUCUAUAUUUGACAUUUGACUCACUGUUGAAACAAUACAAAGUGAUCAGUGGUCACCUGCAGAGCCCAAACCGCCUUGGGUCAGCUCAAUCCAAAUGAACCCAAGGCUCAUCAGUAAUAUCAUAGUUGCACUGAACUGUAAACUGGGUGUAUGCUAUACACUCUAAAAGAAAUCCAGAGUGAUCCAUUGUCCCUCCUGCACAGUUAGCCUUGUAAACCUCUUCUGUCCAAUCCUAUUUAGCUUCUGAUGAAAAUACAUGCAUAAAAUUAGACCUUUAUCUUCAGCCAAGCUAGACCAAUUUUGGUCAGCAAAAAGUGCAUCUCAAAAUGGUUCCUUAAGCUAUGUUGAUUGUCUCCAGCGAGGUCCUGCCCAGAGUAGAUCUAUUAGAAUUAAUGGACCUAAGUUAUCAUUGCUAUAAUUAAUAUAUUAAUCACAUUUUACAAUACUUUACCAAGGUGAUUGACACAGUAGACAAUUAAAAACACAAAAACUACAAAUACAUUUAAAACAAGAUGAAAAUCCUACCAAAAGGACGCUCAUGGUAAAGACCCAUUUAUCCAGUUGGAAAAACCUGUUGGAACAAAACAAAACAAAGUAUUCAGCUGCUAGUUGUGUGCAUAAAUUUCCAUGGAUCUACUUUGAGUGGACUAAUACUGGACACAGCCCAUCUUUUUUCUCACUAUUCUAGAGAAAUUGCACUCUCCUCUUGCCUUCAGUUGUAGGAAAUUAUAGCAAAUCCUUUUUUGUGCACGCACACACACGUCAGUGAUAGAUCUAGCAAGAUUUCCAGUUGAUUUCAAUCUUAACUGUGAGUGUCCAGCACUUUGAAAAUGCAGGGCCCCUAAUGACUUAGCUCUAGAUGUGUAUACCUGCGACAGAUAGCAACUAAUUGCUCAUGGAUAAUGAUGUAAUAGGUUUCCCAUCCAACAUUAAUAUGUAGCUAUAUUAAUAUAUCACAACCUGGUAAUGUGGUAUGACUAGGAUCUAUAUCAAAUGAUUAUGUCAAUGGGCCAUUAAGCAAAUAGUAUAUUAAACCCAGAGUACAGCAUGAGCCUCUGAAUAGAAGUGUACGUCGAGAACUUAAGUGAGACUCUAAAAAACACAGGCAUUAACAUGCAGAUGGAAAGAGGGUCACAUGAUUGUUUUUGCAAGUCCUACAGACAAUUGAGUUUGCAUUCUGUCUGUAUCCCAUCCAAAUUUUAGAAUGCCAUGAGGGUGCGAAGUGGGGGUUGAUUGGGCAUGAUUCCUGCCUGGGACGUUGUGAUGUGUAAUUAUUGGUAUAGAAACAGAUCUAAGAUCACCACGUCCUGGUGAGGUUGAUUGUUCCAGGACAGCAAGUCUCCUAAGGUCCUGCUUACCCAACAAGGAAUCAGAAGCUCUCGUCUCAUCCUAGCAGUGACCAAAAUGGUAGACAGCUUUGCAGGCAUUAAGUUUUGUGUGUGUAUAUAUGGAGUGCGGGAAUAAAUAGUCUGGUAAGAUGGCUGGUUGUUGGAAUAAGGAAACUAAAGGUUUAUUACUCCUGGGAGAUAAAGCCAUUCUGAGCACAAGCUUACAUGUUGCUAUCAUGGAGUCAUGAGGUUAACAAGAGGAAGCUCCAAGACCAAGGGAUAUAGAGAAAGACUAGCUGGACAAGAAGGAAGGAAGGAAGGAAGGAAGGAAGGGAGGGAGGGAGGGAAGCCUGAACAAACACACUCUACAUGGCAACAAGUGGAAGGAAUCAGUGACGGAAAAAGAGACUACAUUUCUAUUGACCCCGCCCCGGUUCAGGUGAUUUAUUGCAGGUGUUGAUUUAUUAUAGGUGUUUACUCUCAACAGCUGGAUGAUUGAAUGGCGGGAGGAGGAUGCAGGUAGGCUCAUUUCUGCACCCUUUCACACAGCCCUUUACCUUUCCAUCCAGACAAGCAAAAGUCAUCUGCAGAAUUCAAGACGCAUUCAAAACAGGCAAAAGCAGUCAAGGAAGAUGCAAUGAGGUAUGGGGCCUGCCAUACCUCCUGAGGGCCACAACCAGCCUUUAGUCCUAAGGUUCCCCACUCUAGGAAUAUGCAACAGGGAGGAGGAAGAGGAGAUGGGUGCAAACAGGGAGGGGAGUCCUCUAACCAGCCCUUAAUAGCAGCUCCACACAUGACACGGAUGCAGAAGGACAGGAAAGUCAAACUUAUUUGAACCCUUAUAACCUGUUUCAAGUGUUCAUUUGUUCUUGGCAUUUAUAUCCUGCCCAAUGAACCAUGCCUUUGGGUAUUUCACAGAUUUAAAAAUAAAUGCAAUACAAAUGCAGUCAAAAUAAAAACAAUCAAUAAAAGAAACUUGCAUCGCUAUAAUUCAUGCGAAAGCAGUGUAAGAUCAAGAACAUUAAAAGCAGCUCUGAAAGUCGGCAUCAGUGUGUGUGUGUAAACUAGCGCAAAAGGCUUGCAGCCAACUACAAGGUCCUACUUGGAAUAGACCCGGUGAAAUAACUGACCUUAAGUUAGUUGUGCCCAUUAACUUCAAUGGACCUGCUCUGAGUAGGCUUAGCAUUGGACACCACCCAAAAUAACCAUUGUUUUUAAAAAGUCUCGGAGAAUAAAAAUGCCUUCACCUGGUGCUGAAUGCAGGUGUCAGGCAAGCUUCUUUGGGGACAGCAUUCCUUCACUAGGGUGCCACUACUCAGAAGUAAGCACAGGAACUAAAACAAAAGAAGCUGCUGCAUACAGAGUCAGAUCUUUGUUCAAUCUAGCCCAAUAUUGUCUAUACUGUACUGACUGGCAGUUGUUUUCCGGUAUUUCAAACAGAAGUCUUUCCCAUCGCUACCUGGAGACACCAGGGGUUGAACCAGGUACCUUAUGCAUGAAAAGCAGACGCUCUACCACUAACCUGUGGACCUACCCUGGAGCAUCCUCUCUCCUCCUAAACAUACAUUGCAGGGAGUUGAGCUAGAUAACCCAUUGGGUCCCUUCCAGCUCUAUAAUUCUAUGAUUCUGUUAUUCGAAUCAGGUUGCGUCUUUCUUAUAGCCUUUUUAACUUGAUGUGUUGACUUCUCCAUAAUUAAUCCGAGGCCCAGACAUCAUGGUCAGAUGUGAUUUCACAUGGCUGAACUUUGCUUCAUUUGAAUCUUUUCCCUAUGCAUCAUUAGAAGUUAUAACUGUAAUAGGAUGACGAUAUUACUGCAAUACUAAUAUUGUGCUCUCCAUUCCUGCUCCGAGCAGUGGUCUUAAUGGGCAUUGGAAGCAGUCAUUGUAAAGAUGGCAUGUGACGUACCUGUGCGUUUGAAAUCUAUUGCCUUUUAGAAAGAAGAUGAAUAGAGGAAAAGCAGCAGGUCCAGAUGGCUUGACCAACUGUACUCACUGCAUAAGCUGGGAGGGGAAAUGUGUUAAUUAGCAAGCCACUCAGGCCUUGGUUUUUCAAAACUAUCAUUCAACAUAGUGGGCUUAAUUUGAGGCAGGGCUGAGCCCUGGAACCCAUUUUAAUUAAUGUCAGGGCCCCAUCACAGAGCAAGUGAUGAGAUGAUAAAGUGUCCCAAAGCACAUGUAGAGCUAGUUAAUUAUAUGUACACUCAUAACUCAUGAGUUGUAUCAUGCACCAAGGAGCGAACACAGAUUAAUCACUGCCAACAGAACUUUUAUACUACACUAUGUGUCAUCUACAAUGCAAUGGGUUGGACCCAGACUAAGUUAACUGGAUCUGGUUCCUAUGCUGUCAUGGAUGCUUUAGUUGAGAUUCCUGCAUUGCAGGGGGUUGGACUAGAUGACCCUUGGGAUCCCUUCCAACUCUAGAAUACUCUUGAUUCCAUGAUUCUAUGAAAUCAAUGGAACUUAGUAACAUUGGAAGUUGUCUUCUGCCAAGUCAAACCAUUGGUGUAUUGUCAACACUGACUGGCAGUAACUCUUCGGGGUUCCCAGCCCUACCUGGAGAUGCUGGUGGUUGAGCCUGGGACCUUUUGAACAAAAGGCCACUGAGUUACGGUAACUCCCCCUUAACGUAAGUCAUGAUUAAUUUGUCACAUUGAUUUCAAUGGGACCUAAGUUCCACUUAGUUGGGAUCCAAUUCAAUGGCUUGAAUUCAAAUGUGUGGCUGUUUUGGCAUGUGGAACAGAUCUGAAAUCUUAUGGAAAGACUGUUUUGCAUCUUAUCCUAGAGAGCUAUCCAAGGAAAGCAAAUCUAAACCCAAAAGAGAAGUAUGAGAACGAUUAGCAUCCUCUAUCCUAUUACUGCAUUGGAUGAGCUCUUGAGUGAGGCUUUGCAGAGCAGCACCAGUGACUAAUUUUCCUCUACUCACCAUUAUUUGCAUCCAGGCGAAUGCUUUUUCAAUGGAGCCAGUUGUGGACAGUUUUGGUCUCCUCGUCCCAAACAGAAUGUUGCAGAGCUGGAAAAGGUUCAGAAAGGACAACCAGAGUGAUCAAAGGGCUAUUGCAACUCCCCUCUUGGGGGCUUUUUUCUAAACUAAUUCUUUGAACGAUUGACAGAGAUGCUGUUCAACCAAACUCUACAUUGAUUUGAAUCAGAGUUGCACAAUCUGAACAUUUUCAGAAACCGAGCUGCGAAACUUUCAUAGUCAAUUAGCUUUUGUAUCUUAGGAUAGAAGGUAGAAAAAGCAGCAAGCUUCUUGAAGCUAAGCACGUCUGGACCUAGCCAGUGCCUGGAUGGGAGGCCAUGAGGAGUCAUAUGUGAAGCAGCUUGAGCUGGAUUUGUAGCAAUAAAUCCACUCACCCAUCCACCCUGAAUCCCAAAGCUGAACUCAGAUGAACUUCAGAAUCCAAUGCCUGAGGGACGGUUCAUGCACACACAUUUUCCCUUGAUAACUGCAGCAUGUUUGAAUGAGCCACCGAAGAGCGAACAAAUCUGAUAUAACAUUUGUACCACUUCACACAACCUUGAUGCUUUUCAUUGGAGUCAGCUCAUGGGUUCAGGUAAGGUUUCAAAGAAGACAACAAGAAUCACUGCCUGCCAGUUUUCUUUCAAAGAGUGGAGAAGGGGGUGAGGAAAUGAAGCAACUCAUCUUAUUGCGGAGUAUGAUUAAAAAUGGCAUAAAUAAAUAUUUCUGCAAGAAUAAAGUCUCCAGUUAGUUAGAAGAUAAGGUCAGGAUCCAAAGAACAAAGCAAGUAAUUCCAUAUUUCCCAAAGGGGCUUUGGACUUGUGUUCCUCAAACAGCAGACUCCCUCAACUACAAACCCCAGGCUGAAUUAUUUCAUUUCUAUGCUAUCCUUUCUCUAAGGAAGUGGUGAGGAACCUCAGAUCCAGGGAUUAAAUACUACUGUACAGCCAAAUACUCUCCCCCAGGGCACACCCCUCAGUACCCCUGCUUCACACCCCAGCUAGUUUUGCCUUGCUGUGCUGUGUUUCUGAACUCUGAUAGUGUCUAUUGCUUGUCUGUACUGAAGACAGGUGUGUGAGACUGGACUGAAGACAGAGAGGUGUGUGAGAACGUGUGUAGACAUUCGCCUACUGUACAAAGGGUUUUUAAAACAUAAAAAUGCAGGGAAUUAAAGAACUGAAUUCCACCCAAUGCCUACUUUCGACCACAGUAAAUUAGCUCAACAUUCUGACCACUACACCAUACUGUCAAAGUGCUUUUGUAAUGGAAGGUUUCAAAAGCAGUUUAUGGUAUAGCCAGGCACAAGGUUAGUUUAAACCAGUUGUUCCCAACGUGGGUGGUGCUGCCCCCUUUCAAGGCUGGGAGACUUACUCAGGGUGGCGCUAUAGGGCAAGGGGGAAGCAGGGAGUGCUGGAGGUGUAAAUGACUGGCAUCACUGGAUCAAGUUCAUCCAUUUUGCUGAAUUAACUCAUUGGUUUUAAUUGAAUUUUGAAUAAAUGUGCAAUUCAUUGUUACUGCUUUGAAUUGUAUUGUGUUGUUACCAUUUUUCUGAAUAUUGGUUUUUUUAUAGGGUAGGGGGCACCGGGGAUGAGCUUAUGGAACCAAGUGGGUGGUGGCCCCAAAAAGUUUGGAAACCACUGGUUUAAAUCAUUCUAUUAGAACGUGCAUGAGCUUUGGAGUGUGUCUAAAGUUGCUCUAUGGAUCCUGGCCAGAAUGAAUGAAAUUCCUAUUAAAAGAUGAAAUCAGAACAGGAAAAAGAAAAGGGAGCACUAAACUAAAAAGGGAGGAGGCAGAAUGCCGGGUAAUUCUAGAAAACGAUAUAAACUUCUUUGGAACAAUAGAAAUUGGAACGUUUCUCUCAUCUCCAAGAAUGUUCAUACACUGAUAAUAUAUACAAUCUAGGAUAUAUAUAUAUAUAUAUUCAUAGAUACCUGUUCAAGGAGAACCCUUCCACAAGCAUUGCAACUUGCCAUUUCCUUCAUGACACCAGGAGAAAUUCAUAAAUCUGGAACAUUUGGGACAAAACCAUCUGGCUCAGAGACCACCCGCCCUACAUCAGCGCUUCAGUUGCAAGAGAUAUAAUUUCUCAUGGAAUAAAAUCCAGACCUCAAGCCACGAACGGCAUCUGGCUAUGAUAAAGCUUUUAUCCACCUAAGGGUAUAUGGACGGUGCUCAAACCUCCCAGUUAAAGCUGGAGACUUGGGUUAAACGAAACCAAUGGCAGCUGCUUCAUACCAAGCUAGAUUUUCUUUUGGUCCAUCUAGCCUGGUAUUGUCUACUCUGACAGACAGU